ensembl:lncRNA
AUGGUUGUGUGUGUGUGUGUGUGUGUGUGUGUUACCGGUUUCUCCAAUAGUUGGACCCUUGGAUGUUGCGAUGAUAGUCGAGGUCGUAGUAGGCUGUUAGCAGGUCCCGGACUCUUAGGGCGUCUCUGUUCUCCACCGUCAUGUGAGGACACAGACCAUGACUGCAGACAGACAAGUAGAGCCGGAGGUAGCCAACAGGUGCUGCUGUCAUUGACUAAUUCGGUGAUUGAGUCUUACAUGUUAUCUCUUAUGAAGCGUCUCAAGGACCCGACGGUGAGGAAAUCCUUAAAGACUACGACACUCUCCUCAAACUUAUUGGAGAGUCUGGGAGGUCUGAACAGCAACACACUCCUGUAAAAUACACCAACGGUGAUGUAACGUCACUUUGUGUGACACACAGUAACUUCUUGUACUUCCUCGUCACAUGACACAAGCAAAGCGCGUCGAGGUUCUGCCUGCUGGGGUCAGCGUUCGUACUCACUCAGACGUUACUCCGUGCUUCUCCCCCCAGCUUCAGAUCAGCAGCGUGGGCCAGUCUGAACUGUCCUCUCAGCAGAGCUGCAGCUCUCAGGAACUCUGCCAGCUGAGAUCCGUCUGCCCCUGAAAACACACCUGAGACACACACACAGGUCAGUGAACGUGACACCACCGAAGGUGCUACGUAGCUUAGCAUGACGUCUUAUGAUGGGAAUUACAGCGAUUAGUCGAUGUAAUCAACGAUGUCGAUUAUGAAAAAUUGUCAACGCAGAUUUUUAUAGUUGACGCGUUGUAUAUUAUAAAAAGAUUCAGAGCUACCGUUUCCCCAUUCGGCGUUGCACUACACUACAGGAAGUGCUGCGGGCGCUAUCGCUUCCAUUGUCUACGUGCACCAAGGAAAAGAAGAAGUUUAUCAAGUAGAACGUGGGAGGGCUGAAAAGGUCUCAUCAGCGAACCAAAGCCAACAGGACAACAGCAGAACAGCACAGCAUCACCACGGCAACGCAGGGACGUAGAACUCAAGCACGUCUUCCCCUCAUGGGUCAGUCUAGCUAACUAAAGUAACGCUAGUUAGUCAACUUAUCGUAAGGAGAACAGAGCGUCUCGUGUAGGAUGCUUGUAGUAAAUCGGUGAAUUAUCACAGUAGUCUUUGUGUUUGUUCUGAAAAGUUGUAUUUGCACUUUUCCUUUACUUUUAAACGUUUUGUAUUACUAUUUAAUGCAUUUAUUAUGAUUACAUUUUUAUUAACUUGUACUUGAAGUUCAAAUUCCAACAUUGAGUCAUCAUUUUAAUUUGCUAUUGUAGGGAACUAAAAGGACGCGAAAGGGGCGUAACCAUGGUGACAUGGGGGUAAAAAGGUGUGAGAGAUGUUAUUGGAUGGAAAUAAACGGCCACACGUUGUAGCCAAAAGGAAUUUGUUUGUUUCCACGCUCCUACACUGGUAAAUAGUGGUUAGAAUGGUCCAUAGGUCGAUAUGGGGACGAAUGUACACCCUGCACAGGGAAUGUCCCACUACGUCAUACAACACAGGUCAGGUGACAUCAUGUAACAGCAGGAACAAGUAACACGUGACAUGCGACAGACCUACGACGCUGGCAUCGUAGUGGUUGAUGAAGGUCUGGAGGUCUUCUUCACUUUUCAGAUGAAUGGAGUCUGGUCCAGUCUGCUUCUUCAUGUAGUGAUAGAUCCCAUCUGAAGACACACAUCUGUUUAAUGAACCUGUUUAUUUGUUUGUUUGUUUGUUGUUUGUUUUACCUGCGCUGCGAGGUCCAUCGUAGGGGGCGGAGUCUCUUCCGUUCCUGAAGAUCUUCAGGGUGGGAUAACCAGACACCCCGAAACGACCACAGGUCUCUGAAUGAGCUGUACAGUCCACCUGAGACACGCGAGAAAAGGAGACAGGAAGUGAUGGGAAGAGACAGGUAAGACAGGAAGUGACAGGAGUGGACCUGUUGGGAAGGAUGUUAGUUAUGUCAACACUAUGUGACAUGUGUUUUGAUGAUGAAGAUGAUAAUAUGAUGAAGAAUAGUGAUGAAGAUGAUAAUAUGAUGAAGAAGAUAGUAAAGAUUUGUGACGGAGAUGAUUACCUUGGCGAGCUGGACGGUUCCCUUCAGUCUGGUUGCUGCUUUCUCAAACUCUGGAGCUAAUUUCUUACAAUGGCCACACCUGAGUGAAGGGAAGGAAGGAGGUGAAGAAACAAAGGAAGGGAGGACAGGAGGGAGGGAACAUGAUAAACAAUGAGAUGGAAGGAAGGAAGGAAGGAAGGAUGGAUGGAUGGACGGAUUAAACACGUCAUUAUCUACGUCAUAAUAUAACCUAUCCGCUCACGAGCUAGCAAUGCUAAAGCUAACCAUCCCGUUACCAUGGAGCGUAGAAUUUCACCAGCAUGGUCUCGUGCUCCGUUGCCAGGUAGUCGAAGUCUGCGUCACCGAGCGCGAGCACGUCCCUGCGCGAGGACACAGCGGCUGGAAAACAAGACAACAGCGCGAGCGUCACUGCGGCCGCCAUGUUGCGGUGAAACGAUGAAAACAUGAAUCGAUGGAGACGAUUCAAACGCGGCCGAUUAUCUCAGAACCUCCGCGCUGCACUCAGCGUCAGUUGAGGCUACGACCCUUCCGGUACCAGAUUCCAAAAUAAAAGUAUUUCACCCUCAA